AUGGUACAGAAGAAGAACUUCCAUCCCAAAAAGUUCAAAAACAACAAGAACAAAACUCAGGGCAAAGGUAAGUUUGAUACAAAGAACAAGCCAUCACAUUCUACCAACUUCAAGAAGAAUUCUCAUAAGAAGGGGAAGGGACUUUGCCAUGUUUGCGGUGAUCCUAAUCACUGGGCUCCGAAGUGUCCUAACCGUUUUGAGGAGCGCGAACAUGACAAGAGCGGCAAGUCCGCUAAUGUUGUUAUCGGUGAUACUGAUAUGAAGGAAUCAGGAUACGGCCACUGGGACUUCUCCCAUGCUGAUGGGGAACGGGUCACAUGCCAUCGUUCGAGGUGUUGGUACGGUCGAUCUGAAGUUUACUUCGGGGAAGACCGUGCGUCUGAAGAACGUUCAUCAUGUGCCGUCCAUCAAUAA
rnacentral:rRNA from 1 species